CGUGAGCCACCACGCCCGGCCCACGCCAUUCUCUUGCCUCAGCCUCCCGAGUAGCUGGGACUACAGGCGCCCACCACCACACCCCGCUAAUUUUUUGUAUUUUUAGUAGAGACGGGGUUUCACCAUGUUAGCCAGAAUGGUCUUGAUCUCCUGACUUCGUGAUCCGCCCGCCUCGGCCUUCCAAAGUGCUGGGAUUACAGGCGUCAGCCACCGCGCCCGGCCUAU
rnacentral:lncRNA from 1 species